ensembl:lncRNA
CCUCUGUCCUCAUCAUGCUGAUAUAUAAGUAAUUAUUCAUUAUUAUUAUCUUCGUCAGGAACAAAGAUCAAUGACCCCCGACCAUGUGACCUCCUCAGUCAGUAAAAACUGACGGCGGCCAUGUUGGUUUGACCCUCUUGCUGUCCAAACAACCAUGACUCAUGGAGGGAUGGACUCCUCAGACCUCUGAAGGUCAGAGAGGCAGCUGGCCUUCGCCAUGAUGUCACAGCAAACCAUCAGAACUUCUUCAGUCCACCUAAACUAAACACGGGUGAGGAGGAGGCUCGAAGCACUUCAUUACACAAGCUGCAGGUCUGGACCACUGUGAACCAGAGCAGCACUCGUCAUAGACCUGAGCUUCUUUGUGUCUGC